rnacentral:rRNA from 1 species
UACGUAGGGUGCAAGCGUUAAUCGGAAUUACUGGGCGUAAAGCGUGCGUAGGCGGUUUGUUAAGUCUGUCGUGAAAGCCCCGGGCUCAACCUGGGAAUGGCGAUGGAUACUGGCGAGCUAGAGUACGGUAGAGGAGAGUGGAAUUCCCGGUGUAGCAGUGAAAUGCGUAGAGAUCGGGAGGAACAUCAGUUGCGAAGGCGGCUCUCUGGACCAGUACUGACGCUGAGGCACGAAAGCGUGGGGAGCAAACAGG